CAGUCGCCGCGGUAAUACGAAGGGUGCAAGCGUUACUCGGAAUUACUGGGCGUAAAGCGUGCGUAGGUGGUGGUUUAAGUCCGUUGUGAAAGCCCUGGGCUCAACCUGGGAAUUGCAGUGGAUACUGGGUCACUAGAGUGUGGUGGAGGAUAGUGGAAUUUCCGGUGUAGCAGUGAAAUGCGUAGAGAUCGGAAGGAACAUCUGUGGCGAAGGCGACUAUCUGGGCCAACACUGACACUGAGGCACGAAAGCGUGGGGAGCAAACAGGAUUAGAGACCCCCGUAGUCCCUGUCUCUUAUAC
rnacentral:rRNA from 1 species